GCAAGUCGAACGGCAGCACGAUCUUCGGAUUGGUGGGGAGGGGCGCACGGGUGCGUAACGCGUCUGCAACUUACCCUUGAGAGGGGGAUAGCCCGGGGAAACUCGGAUUAAUACCCCAUGGUAUUAUUGAUUUUCAUGGAUUAAUAGUUAAAGAUUUAUCGGUCAGGGAUGGGCAUGCGUCUGAUUAGUUAGUUGGUGAGGUAACGGCUCACCAAGACGAUGAUCAGUAGGGGUUCUGAGAGGAUGAUC
rnacentral:rRNA from 1 species